GUGAUUGGACUUAAAACCCUAAGGGGAAAAAGGACAGUGCCAAACGUACUUGGAGGUGGGUUUUUGUUUAUGGUUUGUGUUAUAACCCGGUUUGUGGUGUUUCUCCAAUGGGAUGCCGCAUUGAUUCCUCCCUUUAUUAAAAAGAUUUUGCUACA